UACGAAGGGGGCUAGCGUUGCUCGGAAUUACUGGGCGUAAAGCGCACGUAGGCGGCUUUCUAAGUCGGGGGUGAAAUCCUGGAGCUCAACUCCAGAACUGCCUUCGAUACUGGAAGCUCGAGUCCGGGAGAGGUGAGUGGAACUGCGAGUGUAGAGGUGAAAUUCGUAGAUAUUCGCAAGAACACCAGUGGCGAAGGCGGCUCACUGGCCCGGUACUGACGCUGAGGUGCGAAAGCGUGGGGAGCGAACAGG
rnacentral:rRNA from 1 species